UGUAAACAUCCUACACUCUCAGCUGGAGCUGAGACGGAGGCCGGGAGUGGGGUGUUUGCG
rnacentral:pre_miRNA from 1 species